rnacentral:misc_RNA from 1 species
GGCAAAAUUCGUAACUAUCCUGAAGAGGCAGAAGGAUACUACGUAAUCUUAUUGGCAAGAACAUUUUGGGCCGAUUGCGGAAGUGUCAGAUCAGAGUCACUCGUGAAGCUCGCUACAUACAUUCAUUGCACAUACUCAUGUGGUUCCGUAUACUUUAAAUUGUUUACGGAAAUAAUAAUUCGACGACCAUAAGAAGAUUUCCUGCUGAAGCGACUGCGGCUGUUUGUCUUCUGGUGACAGAGAGGAAAUCCGUUAUGGACACACCGCGGCCCGGGGGACAUGAGGGUUACGUCGGACUCGAACCGACUGACACCCGCAAGGCUUCAUUCGACACGUCUGGGAGGAAUCACGGGACGCUAUUUCACUUCCAAGAUCGCACCAGCCUUUGGCCUAAGCGCCCAACGCGGCUAGCAGCUCCCGAGAGGCUCCCUCGAACACCGAGGUAUACUUAUUACUCUCAUUAGAUUAAGAUUCUUCAAUGCUGAACAAAACAGGCGGAUAAUGUAUGAAAUGUUAAUGUCUUUAUGUUUAGGUUUGCGAAUCUUAUUUGAAUUUUGUUUCAAGAAACUACGUCCAGAAAUUGUAAGUUUGACCUGUUAACGUAUGCCUUAUAUUACAUUUAUCUGUCACGCGCCGGGCAUUCAGACAAAGGUGUUUAACACUUACAUUUUGUUCUUUUCAUCUGAUAAUCAUACACAAAGAAACUUCACUGCACCCCAAUCAAAUGUAGUCAAACCACUUAUAACUUUCUCGUUAAUAUUAAAAUAAUAUUUGGAC